rnacentral:tRNA from 1 species
ACUUAAAUAGCUUAUUUUAUUUAGAGCACGACGCUGAAGAUGUCGGUGAGGUGUGUUUGCCUUUAAGUA